rnacentral:lncRNA from 1 species
CUGGAAGGCUAACUCAGGGGGGGAAAAUGCAACCUCGUCCCCAGGGCCUUUUCAGGAAGGAGGCGAAGGGCAGCAAAGGCCCUGGCACAGAAUAGAUAAUAGGACCAGAAGUCUCACUCAAGCGGAAACAUGUCCCAUCUUUUAUACUGCGCAUGCGCGAGCUAAACAAGUGUAAUGCAGUGUUGACAAUAGAAAAUUAUAUUGGGAAGUUGUCAUUUCUACAGUAAAAACAGCUUUUUUUCAAGUAGUACGAAAUGUGACUUCGAUUUAUCUGUGGAACUAUUUAAACAGAAGGUAAAGCAGUAAUUUUGUUGUAUUUAGAAAGCAAACAGGGUCAUAUUUUUAAAAAUAUAGCGCACUGAAUAUAAAUUUGAGCAUCAUUAAAAUGUGUUCGCUAUGAUGCCAUUUUGUCUCCGGUAUAUACGGAGUUCUGCUUUUAUACUUGUGGAUAUUCGAAUGUAUUUGGCUCAAAAAGACCAUUACUUCAAUAUCCCUUUCUUGUUUUUCCUUGGAUAGGUUUUAACAAGAUAGAACUCUAGAUCACUUGGGUCCAAAGACGCUAGAUUAUAAAAUCCUGAUGUGACUUGAUGCUACAAAUAGAAUAUGUCUUAUGAUUUAAUACUACAAAUAGAAUGUAUUUUAAUUACAAACUUCAAUGAAUUGAUAAAGUGUAAGGAUAGUGUUUAAAGUCGCUUCAUGUGUAGAAGCUGAAUUUAGUUUAUACACUGUAUUGUCGAGAUCACAUGUUGAUAUGACUUAGUAGCAACUUGCAUAAGUGGUCUGUACUCUGUUCUGCUUGGACAUUAGAACAUUGUAAUUGCCUGACAGAGACUGUUAGGGCCUGUUUGUAUGGAAGCCGGGCUGGCCUGCUUAGCAAGACAGCCCGGUAAGGUAGGUAAGCAGGAUGAUUUCUCUUGUGUUUAUUUGAGAAAAUUUCAUCCCACUUACCGGGACAAUUUUGUUGUUUUGACAUUAUUUUGACAGUUGUUAAAAAUAGCUUGCGGCAGUAUCUUUGAACUUUCAUCCCGGAAACCGGGCUAGCCUGCUUAUGAUUGUUUAUGUGAGAUUCGAAAUUUCCAUCCUGAUCUUGGCAACCGGGCCUGCCCGCUUGUCCAUAGAAAUGAUAAUUUUUACUAUAAAAAUAACUAGACAGCGAGAUCUCACUUACCGGGCUGUCUCACUUAGCAGGCCAGCCAGUUUCGAUAUAAACAGGCCCUUAGACAACUGCUAAAAGCUGCAAGUUUCUUUAAAGCAAUAUCAUCUAUAUCACAGAAUACAGUUUCUGUAGUGAUAUACUUCAUGUUUUUUUCUGUCUUUAAAGUGUCUUAUGUUUGUAAUAUUUUUGUACAAUACCUUUUUGAAAUUGUUGAUACUGGUCUCAUUGUAACUCAGUUAUUCCUUCUCAAGAAAAAUAAAAAAACAAAGCUGUGUGGGUGUGUUUUUGCUCUAGCUAGUUUUUACAUUUACAUGGUUCAUGUACAAUUAAUGUACAUUUAAAUUAGCUUUGUUCAAUGAAUACAGGUGUGAUUCAAAUAUCAUUCCUGUCAGGUACUUGGGUCAAAUAGACAUAAGCAUACCAAAUCAUGCUGUGAAUUGAAAUACAAGUAUAGGGUGUGUAUUGUUUAAUAAAUAUAUUUUCCAGUUAACCCAGUGAGCUGCAUUGUGCCCCAAUGCACCCUACUUUACUAGUUUAUUUCACUUCAUCUAAUGCCAGAUGAUUUUACUUAUCGAGGG